GUCCACGCCGUAAACGAUGAUAACUAGCUGUCCGGGUACUUGGUACUUGGGUGGCGCAGCUAACGCAUUAAGUUAUCCGCCUGGGGAGUACGGUCGCAAGAUUAAAACUCAAAGGAAUUGACGGGGGCCUGCACAAGCGGUGGAGCAUGUGGUUUAAUUCGAAGCAACGCGCAGAACCUUACCAGCGUUUGACAUCCCGCGCUAUCCAGAGAGAUCUGGGGUUCCCUUCGGGGACGCGGUGACAGGUGCUGCAUGGCUGUCGU
rnacentral:rRNA from 1 species